rnacentral:misc_RNA from 1 species
GUUUCUAUAAUAAACACUUUUUAAGUAAUACCGCUGAACCUAAACAUUCCUCUGCCUAAAUCUCACGUAUAAUGAUAUAAUGAAGAUUCUUCAUUAUUCCAACUCCUAAAUCAUGACAGCAGUAGCACGAAAGGUAUUAGUUAUGUGUAGCCUGGAGAGUCACGGACCUGUGAGGCUUUGGUGCAUUAGGGUUCCCUUGCUCAUAGAAACAUCGCAAAAGUGAGACUGCUUCAGAUGCCAUUAUUCCACCAGUACAUUUGAAACCCUUUCCUUGUGCAACUUCCCCACUAUUAUGUGGUUGAUUGCUGCUUGAAUGCAAAGACAAUAUUGACCCACAGCCUCCAAAUUUAUCAUUUGCACAGCCAUAAUAUACUUCCUUUAUACCAAGUUCACAUGUAACAUAGAGAGUGCAUUUUGAAAAAUUUUCAGCAACUUCUGACACUGAAAGUCCAUUUUUCUGCC